UACGGAGGGUGCAAACGUUGCUCGGAAUUAUUGGGCGUAAAGCGCACGUAGGCGGUCCAGCAAGUCGGGAGUGAAAUCCCUCGGCUCAACCGAGGAAGUGCUUUCGAAACUACUGGGCUUGAAUACUGGAGAGGGUUGCGGAAUUCCCGGUGUAGAGGUGAAAUUCGUAGAUAUACGGAGGAACACCAGAGGCGAAGGCGGAUCGCUGGGCCAACACUGACGCUGAUGUGCGAAAGCUAGGGGAGCAAACGGG
rnacentral:rRNA from 1 species